UACAGAGGUCUCAAGCGUUGUUCGGAUUCAUUGGGCGUAAAGGGUGCGUAGGUGGUGAGGUAAGUCGGAUGUGAAAUCCCCGGGGCUCAACCCUGGAACUGCAUUCGAUACUGCCUUACUUGAGUACUGGAGAGGAGAUUGGAAUUUACGGUGUAGCAGUGAAAUGCGUAGAUAUCGUAAGGAAGACCAGUGGCGAAGGCGGAUCUCUGGACAGUUACUGACACUGAGGCACGAAGGCCAGGGGAGCAAACGGG
rnacentral:rRNA from 1 species